CAGACGCAAGAUGGCUGUCCUCUCUAAGGAAUAUGGUUUUGUGCUUCUAACUGGUGCUGCCAGCUUUAUAAUGGUGGCCCACCUAGCCAUCAAUGUUUCCAAGGCCCGCAAGAAGUACAAAGUGGAGUAUCCUAUCAUGUACAGCACGGACCCUGAAAAUGGGCACAUCUUCAACUGCAUUCAGCGAGCCCACCAGAACACGUUGGAAGUGUAUCCUCCCUUCUUAUUUUUUCUAGCUGUUGGAGGUGUUUACCACCCGGACAUUGGGAACAGGGAGACUUUUCCCUCGAAGACCAUGUAUUCUGGGAGAAGCGCUCCCCCUCUUUCUAGUGGAGCUACACCCCCAGUGUAGCCUGCAGAACCA
rnacentral:sRNA from 1 species